GAUGAAGAACGCAGCGAUAUGCGAUAACUAAUGUGAAUUGCAGAAUUCCGUGAAUCAUCGAGUCUUUGAACGCACAUUGCGCCCCCUGGUAUUCCGGGGGGCAUGCCUGUCCGAGCGUCAUUGCUGCCCUCAAGCACGGCUUGUGUGUUGGGCCUCCGCCCCCCGGCUCCCGGGGGGCGGGCCCGAAAGGCAGCGGCGGCACCGCGUCCGGUCCUCGAGCGUAUGGGGCUUCGUCACCCGCUCCGUAGGCCCGGCCGGCGCCCGCCGGCGACCCCCCUCAAUCUUUCCAGGUUGACCUCGGAUCAGGUAGGGAUACCCGCUGAACUUAAGCAUAUCAAUAAGCGGAGGA
rnacentral:misc_RNA from 1 species